UACGAAGGGGGCUAGCGUUGCUCGGAAUCACUGGGCGUAAAGGGUGCGUAGGCGGGUCUUUAAGUCAGGGGUGAAAUCCUGGAGCUCAACUCCAGAACUGCCUUUGAUACUGAAGAUCUUGAGUCCGGGAGAGGUGAGUGGAACUGCGAGUGUAGGGGUGAAAUUCGUAGAUAUUCGCAAGAACACCAGUGGCGAAGGCGGCUCACUGGCCCGGUACUGACGCUGAGGUGCGAAAGCGUGGGGAGCAAACAGG
rnacentral:rRNA from 1 species